CACUCGUAGGCCUGGGCCGCAGGCUGCCGACCGAGUGGCCGGGGGGCCUGGCUGCCCCGGGGGCGGGCCGGAGCCGCGGCCGGGGGCGCGGAGCGGAGCUCGGGGCGCCAGGCCGAGCCGAGGUGGGACGGACCGACGCGGAGAGGAAGGGAAGCCGCAUCCCGCGGGCCGCCCCUCCUGAAGCGAGCCGGGCAACGGCCGCGGGCGCCCCUGCCCUGAGCCCACCCCGCGCUCUCCCCUCCCUAACAAUGGGAAUGGGGCAGAAGGAGGCGCCCCACUGCGGAGGGGUGAGGGGUAGGUUUGGGACUGGGGUCCGCGGUGGGGGGAGGUGCGAUCUCGGGCUCUCGCCUCUCCGCUCCCUCUGGCUCUGGAGUUGGGGGCCCUGGUGGGGCUUUGAAGCCUGCCUGAGACUUGGGUCAGGAGUCAAACUGCCGCCCCCCGCUCCUCCCCCAAAAUCCGGUGAGCGGUAAGGAAAGUGAUGCCAAGUCUUCGAAGCCUCAGUGACAAACGCAUAGCAAGAACACAUCCACUCCAGAGAUACCUUAUCGAAACAAAAGAUUUUCCUACCUGCUCAUACUUGGUAACCGAGGGAAUUACUAAGACUUCUUGCUCAUUUCUGAGUAUUGUCUUUAUAUCCUGACACUAUGAAUGCUAUUUGGAUGCCUCUUAAGACGGAGUCUUGCUGUGUCGCCCAGGCUGGAGUGCAGUCGCAGGAUCUUGGCUUCCUGCACCCUCUACCUCCAGGUUCCUGCACCCUCUGCCUCCGGUGGGCCGAGCCGAGGUGGGACAGACUGACACAGAGAGGAAGGGAAGCUGCCUGGCCUGAAGAUCCCAUCUCUAAGAUCACAUUCUGAGGUACUGAAUGUUAGGAGUACUACAUAUCUGUCUUUUUUUUUU